GGGUCAUCGCGACUUACCAAACCAUUGCAAACUCCGAAUACCGAGACGGACUGUAUGGGAGACACACGGCGGGUGCUAACGUCCGUCGUGAAAAGGGAAACAACCCAGACCGUCAGCUAAGGUCCCAAAGUUAUGGUUAAGUGGGAAACGAUGUGGGAAGGCUUAGACAGCUAGGAGGUUGGCUUAGAAGCAGCCACCCUUUAAAGAAAGCGUAAUAGCUCACUAGUCGAGUCGGCCUGCGCGGAAGAUGUAACGGGGCUCAAACCAUGCACCGAAGCUACGGGUAUCACCUUUUGGUGAUGCGGUAGAGGAGCGUUCUGUAAGCCUGUGAAGGUGAGUUG
rnacentral:rRNA from 1 species